CAAUAGCGUAUAUUUAAGUUGUUGCAGUUAAAAAGCUCGUAGUUGGAUUUCGGAUGGGAUUUGCCGGUCCGUCGUUACGAUGUGCACUGGCCAGUCCUAUCUUGUUGUCGGGGACUAGCUCCUUGGAUUCACUUCCUGGGACUAGGAGCUGACGAGGUUACUUUGAGUAAAUUAGAGUGUUCAGAACAAGCCUACGCUCUGAAUACAUUAGCAUGGAAUAACACGAUAGGACUCUGGCUUAUCUUGUUGGUCUGUGAGACCAGAGUAAUGAUUAAGAGGGACAGUCGGGGACAUUCGUAUUUCAUUGUCAGAGGUGAAAUUCUUGGAUUUAUGAAAGACGAACUUCUGCGAAAGCAUUUGUCAAGGAUGUUUUCAUUAA
rnacentral:rRNA from 1 species